AUAGGCUUACCCACAUGUUUAAAUCAGUUUAAGUAAACUCCCUUAGAAGGUAAUUUAGAUUAAUUUUCUUGAAAUGUUUGUGUCUGAAGACAAGUAAAACUGCAAUUCUUUGUGCAAAUUCUCAUACAAUCAUUAUUACAUCGAGCAAAAUGCCCAGGGUAUCUUUGGGGUCUGUGCAACCUAUGGAUGCUACAAAGGAAAAAACCACCUAUUCUCAUGCCUUGGUUGUUUGUGACAGCAAUGAUGUUUUUAACUAAAUCAUAUGAAAAAAUUCUUGAGCAUGGAAACAAUCUAGGGUGUUAAGCAAUUUUAUAAUUAUAAUGUUAUUUAUUUGGAUAAAGAGGGGGGCUUUUCUGGUUGGAUGUCAUUGAUUGUCUUUUCAUAGCUUUAAAAAAUGAUGUUUUGCAGAAUCAUUAUACUAGCAACAGUCAGCUACAUCAUGUAUAAAUCAGCAGCAUGCAGAAAAUGCUUACAGCAGUAGAUAAUAGAGAAAAAAAAAAGACAUGUUGGGCAGAAAACAUUUCCAACAUACAUUUCCCAUCAUGAAGGACAAUGUAAGCAACUGUCAGGUAAAACAAGACAUCUCUUGGGAGGAUGGGAUGGUGCUGAAAAUUGCCAGGGUCAGAUUGGGUCACCUGGGUGUUUUCUUCCCUUAUCUCUGCCUGCUUUAAAUAAUGCAAAAAUGCAGACUUGGCUGAGGCCCCAGCUCAUCAGAGCACUUAAGCAUGCCCUUGAUUGCAAGCAUGUGCAAAGGCUUACUGAUGAGGAAGGGAAGAAGGAACAGGUUUCAAACGUGAAGGAAGAGCUGUGUGCAUUUUCCCUACAAAAGGUUCUUCAGCUGUCUGUGAAUCAGAGAAUGGAGAUACUUCAUGGCAUCUCCUUCCUCGUGGGCCAAGCAAAUCUACAGGAGGCUGGCAGUACAACCUCAGGCUUCAGAAGAAAUGUGAAAGAGAAAAUAUAAAACCAUACACAAAGAAAACACUAAGUAUUUUAAACUGCAGAACUCUCCUUUUUUUCCUGUUCCAGUAGUCUCAGGGGCAGAAUUUCUUUUCCAGACCUGACCCAAAUCACACAACACCAAUACCCACCAUGGAGAGUGCCCACAGUACUGAGAAAGUGAAGUUUUCAUGGCUCGGAUUUUCAGUGUUACAAAUCUGGAAAACCAAGGUGAUUUCUGGAAGAAAUUUUUAUGGUUUAGGAUAUUUAAUUUUCCCUUUUUUCUUAGUUUUCCUGUAAUGUAUAAAAAUAGGACCAAAAUGCCACUUCCAUCGUAAAGCUUCAGAAAUAAAAACUUGUAUCAACAAUUGUGCAAAUGGAAACCACCAAGGAUUAUUUGAAAGGGUCAGCCUGAAUGUUGAGUGGGAAUGUAACUCCUUGGCUUCUGAACUUCAAAUGCAGAAUGUAGCUGUA